CAGCCGCCGCGGGAAUACGAGGGGAGCUAGCGUUGUUCGGAAUUACUGGGCGUAAAGCGCGCGUAGGCGGCUUUUUAAGUCAGAGGUGAAAGCCCGGGGCUCAACCCCGGAAUUGCCUUUGAAACUGGAAAGCUAGAAUCUUGGAGUGGUCAGUGGAAUUCUGAGUGUAGAGGUGAAAUUCGUAGAUAUUCGGAAGAACACCAGUGGCGAAGGCGACUGACUGGACAAGUAUUGACGCUGAGGUGCGAAAGCGUGGGGAGCAAACAGGAUUAGAUACCCCCGUAGUCCCUGUCUCUUAUAC
rnacentral:rRNA from 1 species